rnacentral:rRNA from 1 species
UACGGGGGGGGCAAGCGUUGUUCGGAAUUACUGGGCGUAAAGGGCUCGUAGGCGGCCAACUAAGUCAGACGUGAAAUCCCUCGGCUUAACCGGGGAACUGCGUCUGAUACUGGUUGGCUUGAGUGUGGGAGAGGGAUGCGGAAUUCCAGGUGUAGCGGUGAAAUGCGUAGAUAUCUGGAGGAACACCGGUGGCGAAGGCGGCAUCCUGGACCAUUACUGACGCUGAGGAGCGAAAGCCAGGGGGAGCAAACGGGG